GUACUCGAGCGGCGAACGGGUGAGUAACACGUGAGUAACCUGCCCCUGACUCUGGGAUAAGCCCGGGAAACUGGGUCUAAUACCGGAUAUGACCGCCCCAGGCAUCUGGUGGUGGUGGAAAGUUUUUUCGGUUGGGGAUGGACUCCCGCCUAAUCAGCUUGUUGGUGGGGUAAUGGCCUACCAAGGCGACGACGGGUAGCCGGCCUGAGAGGGCGACCGGCCACACUGGGACUGAGACACGGCCCAGACUCCUACGGGAGGCAGCAGUGGGGAAUAUUGCGCAAUGGGCGAAAGCCUGACGCAGCGACGCCGCGUGGGGGAUGACGGCCUUCGGGUUGUAAACCUCUUUCAGCAGGGACGAAGUUGACGUGUACCUGCAGAAGAAGCGCCGGCUAACUACGUGCCAGCAGCCGCGGUAAUACGUAGGGCGCAAGCGUUGUCCGGAAUUAUUGGGCGUAAAGAGCUCGUAGGUGGCUGGUCGCGUCUGCCGUGAAAGCCCGCAGCUUAACUGCGGGUCUGCGGUGGAUACGGGCCGGCUAGAGGUAGGUAGGGGCAAGUGGAAUUCCUGGUGUAGCGGUGAAAUGCGCAGAUAUCAGGAGGAACACCGGUGGCGAAGGCGGCUUGCUGGGCCUUACCUGACGCUGAGGAGCGAAAGCGUGGGGAGCGAACAGGAUUAGAUACCCUGGUAGUCCACGCUGUAAACGUUGGGCGCUAGGUGUG
rnacentral:rRNA from 1 species